ACAAUGGAGAGUUUGAUCUUGGCUCAGGAUGAACGCUAGCGGCAGGCCUAAUACAUGCAAGUCGAACGGUUGUAGCAAUACAAUAGUGGCGCACGGGUGCGUAACGCGUA
rnacentral:rRNA from 1 species